rnacentral:rRNA from 1 species
AUUGAACGCUGGCGGCAGGCUUAACACAUGCAAGUCGAGCGGGGUGAUGGUGCUUGCACUAUCACUUAGCGGCGGACGGGUGAGUAAUGCUUAGGAAUCUGCCUAUUAGUGGGGGACAACAUCUCGAAAGGGAUGCUAAUACCGCAUACGUCCUACGGGAGAAAGCAGGGGAUCACUUGUGACCUUGCGCUAAUAGAUGAGCCUAAGUCGGAUUAGCUAGUUGGUGGGGUAAAGGCCUAACAAGGCGACGAUCUGUAGCGGGUCUGAGAGGAUGAUCCGCCACACUGGGAAUGAGACACGGCCCAGACUCCUACGGGAGGCAGCAGUGGGGAAUAUUGGACAAUGGGGGGAACCCUGAUCCAGCCAUGCCGCGUGUGUGAAGAAGGCCUUAUGGUUGUAAAGCACUUUAAGCGAGGAGGAGGCUCUUUUGGUUAAUACCCAAGAUGAGUGGACGUUACUCGCAGAAUAAGCACCGGCUAACUCUGUGCCAGCCGCCGCAGUAA